AAGAGAUUAAAUUGUAUAUAAUCUUUUAUAUGUAAAUUGAAAAAAUAUAUGACUAAAUUUCUCAAAUUAUUAUAUAUAUGGAUUCUUUAUAUUUCCUUAUUUGUUUUCACAUCACCUGUUGUUGGAAAAUUUAUUAAAUUAAAUUUUGAAUGUAAAUCUGAUGCCGAUUGUCCAAAAUAUAGGACCAGAUUGGUAGCUUUAAAGUGCAUUGAUCACUAUUGUACGGUUAUACACUAUUUCUAGGACCAGUAGAAUACAAAAUUGAUUGAUUGAGGAGUAUGACAAAAUGUAUUCUCUAAAAUAAAAUGUAUUUAUUGUAUGAGAGCUUUUUUAUUUUUUA